rnacentral:rRNA from 1 species
UACGAAGGGUGCAAGCGUUGCUCGGAAUUAUUGGGCGUAAAGCGCACGUAGGCGGCUUGGCAAGUCGGAUGUGAAAGCCCACGACUCAACCAUGGAAGUGCAUCCGAAACUGCUGAGCUUGAGUACUUAAGAGGAUCGCGGAAUUCCCGGUGUAGAGGUGAAAUUCGUAGAUAUCGGGAGGAACACCAGUGGCGAAGGCAGCGAUCUGGGAAGAUACUGACGCUGAGGUGCGAAAGCGUGGGGAGCAAACAGG